rnacentral:rRNA from 1 species
GAUGAACGCUGGCGGCGUGCCUAAUACAUGCAAGUCGAGCGAACGGACGAGAAGCUUGCUUCUCUGAUGUUAGCGGCGGACGGGUAAGUAACACGUGGAUAACCUACCUAUAAGACUGGGAUAACUUCGGGAAACCGGAGCUAAUACCGGAUAAUAUUUUGAACCGCAUGGUUCAAAAGUGAAAGACGGUCUUGCUGUCACUUAUAGAUGGAUCCGCGCUGCAUUAGCUAGUUGGUAAGGUAACGGCUUACCAAGGCAACGAUGCAUAGCCGACCUGAGAGGGUGAUCGGCCACACUGGAACUGAGACACGGUCCAGACUCCUACGGGAGGCAGCAGUAGGGAAUCUUCUGCAAUGGGCGAAAGCCUGACGGAGCAACGCCGCGUGAGUGAUGAAGGUCUUCGGAUCGUAAAACUCUGUUAUUAGGGAAGAACAUAUGUGUAAGUAACUGUGCACAUCUUGACGGUACCUAAUCAGAAAGCCACGGCUAACUACGUG